GCCCCCUACAGCUUGCAGUCGCCCUGCGCGCCUCCCCGCGAGGCUUGUUUUCUAGCGCCUCUGAUGGGCCGAGGCCUGGUGUGAGCCUGGGGUCCGUUCUCACAGCUGGAUCUGGGGUCUGAAUGCCGCGCCCUCUGGAGAGCCACACAUGGGUCUCCGCUGAUGCUUCUCUCAAUUUCCUCUAAGAGCGAGAGCUCCGGGAAAGGAGCCGAUCCUGGUGGAAGACUACAGGUCUGAGUCCACUGGACGAUAAACGAGGCUCCUUGGAUUAGAGACCAUCCUGAGGACAUCCUUGGGAGCCAUGUGCUGAAGAUGGCCAAGCCACAGGAUGAAAGGAGCUGCAUCUUUGAGUCACCACUGGAGAAAGGUCUCUCUAAAUGGAUUUGCAGAGACGUCUUCUCGAAUACUCCCCUUCUAAGUUCCACUUGUAAUCCACUUCUUUUAUUCUCCCAGCAAUCAAUGUGGUUUGGGGAAAUUCCAGAAUCUCAUAAUACCUUGAUCAUGGGUAAAUAAGGAAAGGACCUUUACAUACAUGUGAUGCAAAGCAGAUCAAAACAAGCAGAGCAGCCUAAGAGCAGCAAGACCCCAAAGGAUAAGGGAAGUCCUGCAGAAGAGCAGAGCAGUGCUGCAAAGGCAGGCAGGUAAGGUAAGCAGACGGGGCCAUCAGGAUGGAUCCUUUGGGCAUGCCAGCAUCCACCAGGGACUGGUAGAGCUAUUUAGAGAAACUGAUAAAAAGCUCUGCCAACUACAGUCACAAAAGAUGGAGCUCAGAAUGAUGAGUAGAUGCCUAAAACAUCUCCAUUUUGUUGAUGAAGAAAGUAAAGUUUAUAGAGCUUAGAUUAUUUGCUUUUGUACCUAGCACAGUACUUAGUUUAUAGUAGAUGCACAAUAAGUAUUUGUUUAAUGAGUGAAUGGGUCACUAGCCUAAGACCUUUAAUAUAACAUGCUUAAACCUGCUACCAGGGAUUGGGAACUCACCUAUUUAGUAGUGAGUAGAGGGGUGUGGUACUGGUACUUAAGAUAGAUACAUUGUGGUUGGGUAUGGUGUGUUUUUGUUUUUGUUUUGAGACAGGUUCUCCCUCUGUUGCCCAGGCUGAGAUGCAGUGGCAUUAUCAUGGCUCACUGCAGCCUUAACCUCCCGGGGCUCAAGCGAUCCUCCCACCUCAGCCUCUGAGUAGCUGGGACCACAGGUGUGCAUCACCGUGCCUGGCUAAUUUUGUUUUUUGUUUGUUUGUUUGUUUUGUAGGGACGGGAUUUUGCCAUGUUGCCCAGGUUGGUCUCGAACUCCUGGGCUCAAGCUACACCCGCCCGCCUCGGCCUCCCAAAGUUGUAGGAUUAAGGUGUGAGCCACUGUGUCCAGCAGAUAUGAUGUUUUUAAAAGUUUGAGAGUUAAUAUGCUCUCUGGUGUGCCCUAGGUCCCACUACUCCUAUUGCCUUAAAACUCACGCAGUACACAUUUGUCUUCCAUGGGCUUCAGUUGUAAGAGAACCCUUUCUACUCUUUGCUGUUCACAAGUCUCCUUUUAAACAGAGCUUGUUCCCAAUGCUGUUUUGUUUUGCUCUCUGCCAUGUUCUUCCGGCCAUCACCUACUGUGGGGAAAAGAGAGAGAGAUCACAUUGUUACUGUGUCUGUGUAGAAAGAAGUAGACAUAGGAGACUCCAUUUUGUUCUGUACUAAGAAAAAUUCUUCUGCCUUGAGAUGCUGUUAAUCUGUAACCCUAGCCCCAACCCUGUGCUCCCUGAGACAUAUGCUGUGUCAACUCAGGGUUAAAUGGAUUAAGGGCUGUGCAAGAUGUGCUUUGUUAAAGAAAUGCUUGAAGGCAGCAUGCUCGUUAAGAGUCAUCUCCACUCCCUAAUCUCAAGUACUCAGGGACACAAAACACUGCGGAAGGCCGCAGGGACCUCUGCCUAGGAAAGCCAGGUAUUGUCCAAGGUUUCUCCCCAUGUGAUAGUCUGAAAUGUGGCCUCGUGGGAAGGGAAAGACCUGACCGUCCCCCAGCCCGACACCCGUAAAGGGUCUGUGCUGAGGAGGAUUAGUAAAAGAGGAAGGAACGCCUCUUUUGCAGUUGAGACAAGAGGAAGGCAUCUGUCUCCUGCUCGUCCCUGGGCAAUGGAAUGUCUCAGUGUAAAACCCGAUUGUAUAUUCCAUCUACUGAGAUAGGGGAAAACUGCCUUAGGGCUGGAGGUAGGACAUGCGGGCAGCAAUACUGCUCUUCAAGUCAUUGAGAUGUUUAUGUGUAUACAUAUCCAAAGCACAGCACUUAAUUCUUUACCUUGUUUAUGAUGCAGAGACCUUUGUUCACGUGUUUACCGGCUGACCUUCUCUCCACUAUUAUCCUUUGACCCUGCCACAUCCCCCUCUCCGAGAAACACCCAAUAAUGAUCAAUAAAUACUAAGGGAACUCAGAGGCCGGUGGGCUCCUCCGUAUGCUGAACACCAGUCCCCUGGACCCCUUUUUUUCUUUCUCUAUA